rfam:Anopheles maculatus strain maculatus3 cont1.39424, whole genome shotgun sequence.
GGCGCUCAAGUCGUUUGCCUAUACAUUGCCGCUAGCGGUAAUGCGCAUCGGGGGCCUGACCAACCCUGCGGUGAUACCCUAGUGAGUAGGAGGGUACGGUGGUGCGCGCAGAAGUGUUUGGCGCAAGCCAGCAUGGAGCCGCCACCGGCACAGAUCUUGGUGGUAGUAGCAAACUGCGACCAUAUCCUAUAGCCUUG